UGGGGAAUAUUGCGCAAUGGGGGAAACCCUGACGCAGCGACGCCGCGUGGAGGAUGAAGGUCUUAGGAUUGUAAACUUCUGUUAAGUGGGAAGAAAUGUUGUGACCUAAUACGUCAUAAAGCUGACGGUACCACUAGAGAAAGCACCGGCUAACUUCGUGCCAGCAGCCGCGGUAAUACGAAGGGUGCUAACGUUAUUCGGAGUUAUUGGGCGUAAAGAGCGUGUAGGCGGUCUGUUAAGUUGACUGUUAAAUCUCCCGGCCUAACCGGGAACCAGCAGUCAAAACUGGCAAGACUAGAGGGCAGGAGAGAGAAGUGGAAUUCUCGGAGUAGCGGUAAAAUGCGUAGAUCUCGAGAGGAACACCGAUUGCGAAGGCAGCUUCUUGGCCUGUGCCUGACGCUGAGACGCGAAAGCGUGGGGAGCAAACAGG
rnacentral:rRNA from 1 species